rnacentral:rRNA from 1 species
AUUGAACGCUGGCGGCAUGCUUUACACAUGCAAUUCGAACGGCAGCGCGGGCUUCGGCCUGUCGGCGUGUGGCGAAUGGGUGUGUAAUGCAUCGGAACGUGCCCAUUAGUGGGGGAUAUCCCGGCGAAAGCCGGAUUAAUACCGCAUACGACCUGAGGGUUAAAGCGGGGGAUCGAAAGGCCUUUCGCUUUUGGAGCGUCCGAUGUCGGAUUAGCUAGUUGGUGGGGUAAAGGCUUACCAAGGCGACGAUCCGUAGCUGGUCUGAGAGGACGACCAGCCACACUGGGACUGAGACACGGCCAAGAAUCCUACGGGAGGCAGCAGUGGGGAAUUUUGGACAAUGGGGGCAACCCUGAUCCAGCCAUGCCGCGUGCGGGAAGAAGGCCUUCGGGUUGUAAACCGCUUUUGUUAGGGAAGAAAGCCUCUGGGCUAAUACCCCGGGGGGAUGACGGUACCGGAAGAAUAAGCACCGGCUAACUACGUA